GAUGAACGCUGGCGGCGUGCUUAACACAUGCAAGUCGAGGGGCAUCAUGGCGGUCGCUUGCGACCGCUGAUGGCGACCGGCGCACGGGUGCGUAACGCGUAUCGAACCUGCCGCAUACCCGGGGAUAGCCUUGCGAAAGCAAGAUUAAUACCCGAUGUUCUCACUGUUCCGCAUGUUACGGUGAGCAAAGAAUUUCGGUAUGCGAUGGCGAUGCGUCCCAUUAGCUAGUUGGCGGGGUAACGGCCCACCAAGGCUCCGAUGGGUAGGGGUUCUGAGAGGAAGGUCCCCCACACUGGAACUGAGACACGGUCCAG
rnacentral:rRNA from 1 species